CACCCAGGACUCUACUCUAGGCCUAGCAGAAUCUGGGCCUACGUGUGGCUUUCAAAACACUAUGUGAUCCCCUGCAAGGCUUUGCAGGCUCCUUAUCUAGAAGCCUGGCACAAUGUGGAAAGGAAGCCUUUCUUCUGUUUCUUUAUAGAUCUGCCUGUACACUGUAUAUCUGGGCUGCACAGCUUUGAUCAGCCUCAAGGCUACCCCAGGGAGAUACAAUGCCAAGUGAAGCUAACAUGGAAAAUGAAGACCCAGCUCCAGCAGAAAAAGGACAGAGUGUAGCUCGAAUUACCAUAGAAAUUCAAGAUGUUUCUGGGAAUUCACAGUCACAUCUGAAAGGUUUUCUCCGAUAUAUAUUCUCACCAAUCGCUGCCUUAUUCAGACAGUCCCCACAGCGAUUCUCUAACCUAAUGUUCGCAAGCAGUCAGGAAUCGGUGAUGCAAGCAAAAAGGCACUAAUGUCAGGAAAAGAGGAGAAAAAUAUGUGCUGCUGUGGAAAAGCAGGGAAAUUGGAUGAAUCGUAGAACUCCUGGUGGACCAAGAAUAUAAAGAUCUGCACCUCUGGGGAGCCGUGUGCCACUGAAGAGAGCACACAGUGUCCAUGAGAGAAAUAUUAGACAAAUGGGAGUGUUUCCUUACCAUGAUGCAAGCUCGCCAAUGCAGAGCAAUAGGGAACAUACAUAAGGAAUGUUCUUAUAUCAGUAUGUCACUUUGUCUCUACCUCCUGGAGACAAUGUGGGAAGGACUGGAGCAUUUAGGAAACUCUUGUUCUCCCUUAGCAACUUUGCCAGUUCCAGCAGUCCAUUUCAUGAUGUCCAUACUUGUGGAUAACCAUGAACUGCUAAGAUAACAACAGCGAUACGAAGAAGCACCUCACCGGGUGCCCAAUGAUGUUAUGGUUUAUACAUGGGAGGACUCUGGGAGUAGUAAGGGUUGUGCGUGGGGCUGCGUAGCAUGUGUACAGGGCACGCGUGCGUGGAAGCGAUACUAGUAUAUAAGCCAUAUGAUGCAGCAAUAAAUUGAGAGAAGACCUAAUGACAUCCAUGACUAUGUUCUCUCCCCUGGACUGUUGAUGUUCCGGGAUGAUUGGGCUAUUUGACAGCUGUGUCACUUUCCUAGAGAGACAAUAAAGCCUGACUGAUGUGUAGUUUCUCAAGUCUUUCUUUUUGCUCUUUUUUAGAUGAACAUAUUAUUAAUCCCCUCCUACUUGUCUGUUACUCUGUGACCUGCGCAAUCUUUCAGAUGAUAGCAAGAGGUGUUGCAAUGAUGUCAGCCAAUUUUUAUCUCUCUCAAUUGCAUUACGUUAUAUGCAUUAAAUAAUGCAUUCUGCCA